UACAGAGGGUGCAAGCGUUAAUCGGAAUUACUGGGCGUAAAGCGUGCGCAGGCGGCUUUGCAAGACAGAUGUGAAAUCCCCCGGGCUCAACCUGGGAACUGCAUUUGUGACUGCAUGGCUAGAGUGCGGCAGAGGGGGAUGGAAUUCCGCGUGUAGCAGUGAAAUGCGUAGAUAUGCGGAGGAACACCGAUGGCGAAGGCAAUCCCCUGGGCCUGCACUGACGCUCAUGCACGAAAGCGUGGGGAGCAAACAGG
rnacentral:rRNA from 1 species